AUUGACCACGGGGGGCAGCAGUCGGGAAUAUUGCACAAUGGAGGAAACUCUGAUGCAGUGACACCGCGUAUAGGAAGAAGGUUUUCGGAUUGUAAACUAUUUUAGACAGGGAAGAAAAAAGACAGUACCUGUAGAAUAAGCUCCGGCUAACUACGUGCCAGCAGCCGCGGUAAUACGUAGGGAGCAAGCGUUAUCCGGAAUUAUUGGGUGUAAAGGGUGCGUAGACGGGACAGCAAGGUAGUUGUGAA
rnacentral:rRNA from 1 species